rnacentral:rRNA from 1 species
AUGAGCACCGGCGGGCCGGCCUCGAGUAUGACUAGUAUUAAUCGGAGAGUUGAUCAUGACGACUCGUCUGGCGCCCCUGCCGCCGGCGCUGGCGGAAGCACCAGCGGCAGCGGGUUGUCGCCGACAGGGCGGUGGGGGAAGCCGGUGGGAUCCAUGAAAAAGUCGAGGCAACCCAUCAUCACUCGGGAUGACCCCAACAUGCUGAAGACGCACUUCCUAGAGAUCGCCUCCGGAGCAGACAUCGUGGAAGGAAUAGCCAGGUUUGCGCGCCGCCAGAAGUUCGGGGUGUGCGUGCUCUCGGGCAGUGGCAUGGUCGGUGAUGUCACGCUGCGCCAGCCCCUGUGGCCGGAGGGCUCCACCGUCACACUUCACGGCAGAUUCGAAAUCCUUUCCCUCUCAGGCGCCUUCAUGCCGCCGCCGUGUCCUCCCGGCGCCAACGGCCUGACAAUCUACCUCGCCGGAAGAGAGGGUCAGGUCGUCGGAGGCAAAGUCGGCGACGCCCUCGUAGCUUCCGGCACGGUCAUGGUCGCUGUGACCACCUGCUCUAACAUUACCUACGAGCGCCUCCCACUCGUUGAUGACAAGCCCGCCAAGGCAGCAGCAGAUCCCGAUGAAUCACCGGCGGGAAUGGCUGUCGCGCAGGGAUUGCUGGUCCCCAAGUUCGACGACUUGUCACCGGACCUGAUGCCGAAGGAGGAAGAUAACCUCGAAGAUAAGCAGGCACUAAAGUACACAACAGAGAAGAUGGAAAACGACGACACUCUAGAGCCAUUACAAGGUAGUACAUUGGAGCAGGUUCUUGGUAACCUCGGCCGUAAGCACAGAUCGCAAAAGAUGGAAAUUGAUCGUACUCCAGACUCUCCAGAGCCAUCACAUGAUAGUGCGUUGGAACAGACAUCAUCACAGAACAUGGAAACUGAUCCUAGUCCAGAGUCAGCGAUGAGUACCUUGGAGCAGGACGAAAGGCUGCCGCUUCAGAGAACCCUCUCUGCUAUACAAGACCUUAUCAAACGUGCUGACUGGUGGGUUCACAAGCAUAUUUUGGUUAAUCAGGCUACCAAUGACACAGUGUAUUGUGCUGAAGAUCUCUUGGACGAACUCGAUUACUAUGAGCUCCGAGACAAAAUUGAAGGAAGUACAUUGCGACCUGGAUGCUUAGAGACUUGUGACAUCAAAAUGAAGAAAGUCAAAGGAGAGCUCGAUGAACGAAUGAACCUAACGGAUCUCAUUGGCAUGCCUGAUGUGCGGCAGCUGUUUAUCGAUGAAUCUAUUUGUCAGGAAGCCAAUCUUUUUAAAGAGGAAAAAGCAAUCUUUGGGCGUCAGAAAGAGUUGAUGGAGUUGUUUGACUUGCUUGAUUUUCAAGAGAACAGUCCAACCAGUGAGCAAGUCACUGCUGCAAUCACAGUACCUGACCGUGAUCAAGCAAGACCAGAAAAUGUGUCUGUUUUACCAAUAGUAGGAAGAAGUGGUGUCGGGAAGACUACUCUGGCCCAUAACAUUUUCAGAGAGAAGAGAGUUGGUGAUCAUUUUGACCUGCUAAUUUGGAUACGAGAAGAAGUUGAUUAA